rnacentral:rRNA from 1 species
AUUGAACGCUGGCGGAAUGCUUUACACAUGCAAGUCGGGCGGCAGCGCGGGGGCAACCCUGGCGGCGAGCGGCGAACGGGUGAGUAACACAUCGGAACGUACCCUGUCGUGGGGGAUAACGAAUCGAAAGAUUCGCUAAUACCGCAUACGACCUGAGGGUGAAAGCGGGGGAUCGCAAGACCUCGCGCGAGAGGAGCGGCCGAUGGCGGAUUAGCUAGUUGGUGGGGUAAAGGCCCACCAAGGCGACGAUCCGUAGCGGGUCUGAGAGGACGGCCCGCCACACUGGGACUGAGACACGGCCCAGACUCCUACGGGAGGCAGCAGUGGGGAAUUUUGGACAAUGGGGGGCAACCCUGAUCCAGCCAUUCCGCGUGAGUGAAGAAGGCCUCGGUGUAAG